rnacentral:rRNA from 1 species
UACGAAGGGGGCUAGCGUUGCUCGGAAUCACUGGGCGUAAAGGGUGCGUAGGCGGGUCUUUAAGUCAGGGGUGAAAUCCUGGAGCUCAACUCCAGAACUGCCUUUGAUACUGAAGAUCUUGAGUUCGGGAGAGGUGAGUGGAACUGCGAGUGUAGAGGUGAAAAUUCGUAGAUAUUCGCAAGAACACCAGUGGCGAAGGCGGCUCACUGGCCCGGUACUGACGCUGAGGUGCGAAAGCGUGGGGGAGCAAACAGGG